rnacentral:rRNA from 1 species
UCCUACGGGAGGCAGCAGUCGAGAAUUUUUCUCAAUGGGGGAAACCCUGAAGGAGCGACGCCGCGUGGAGGAUGAAGGUCUUCGGGUUGUAAACUCCUGUCAUUUGGGAACAAUGCGUAAAUAUUAACUGUAUUUGCGUUGAUAGUACCAGAAGAGGAAGAGACGGCUAACUCUGUGCCAGCAGCCGCGGUAAUACAGAGGUCUCAAGCGUUGUUCGGAUUCAUUGGGCGUAAAGGGUGCGUAGGCGGCGCGGUAAGUCGGGUGUGAAAUCUUGGAGCUUAACUCCGAAACUGCAUUCGAUACUGCCGUGCUUGAGGACUGGAGAGGAGACUGGAAUUUACGGUGUAGCGGUGAAAUGCGUAGAUAUCGUAAGGAAGACCAGUGGCGAAGGCGGGUCUCUGGACAGUUCCUGACGCUGAGGCACGAAGGCCAGGGGAGCAAACGGGAUUAGAUACCCCGGU